rnacentral:rRNA from 1 species
AUUGAACGCUGGCGGCAGGCUUAACACAUGCAAGUCGAGCGGGGAAUGGUAGCUUGCUACCUGACCUAGCGGCGGACGGGUGAGUAAUGCUUAGGAAUCUGCCUAUUAGUGGGGGACAACAUUCCGAAAGGAAUGCUAAUACCGCAUACGCCCUACGGGGGAAAGCAGGGGAUCUUCGGACCUUGCGCUAAUAGAUGAGCCUAAGUCAGAUUAGCUAGUUGGUGGGGUAGAGGCCUACCAAGGCGACGAGCUGUAGCGGGUCUGAAAGGAUGAUCCGCCACACUGGGACGGAGACACGGCCCAGACUCCUACGGGAGGCAGCAGUGGGGAAUAUUGGACAAUGGGCGCAAGCCUGAUCCAGCCAUGCCGCGUGUGUGAAGAAGGCCUUUUGGUUGUAAAGCACUUUAAGCGAGGAGGAGGCUACUGAGAUUAAUACUCUUGGAUAGUGGACGUUACUCGCAGAAUAAGCACCGGCUAACUCUGUGCCAGCCGCCGCCGUAAUAC